UAGACCUACGGGGGGCAGCAGUGGGGAAUAUUGCACAAUGGGGGAAACCCUGAUUCAGCGACGCCGCGUGAGUGAAGAAGUAUUUCGGUAUGUAAAGCUCUAUCAGCAGGGAAGAUAAUGACGGUACCUGACUAAGAAGCCCCGGCUAACUACGUGCCAGCAGCCGCGGUAAUACGUAGGGGGCAAGCGUUAUCCGGAUUUACUGGGUGUAAAGGGAGCGUAGACGGCAGCGCAAGUCUGGAGUGGAAUCCCAUGGCUUAACCAUGGAACUGCUUUGGAAACUGUGCAGCUGGCGUGCAGGAGAG
rnacentral:rRNA from 1 species